AGACAUAUAGAUGAGUGUAAAUGGUCUGUAUUUUUAUAGUGCCUUUCUAGUCUUCUUACCACUCAAAGUGCUGUUAUAUUAUGUCGCAUUUACCCAUUCACACACAUUCAUACAUUGAGCCUCUGUGCUCAAACAGAAACUAACAUUCACACAAAUUCAUACACCGAUGGAACAGCCGUCGGGGCAAGUUCAGUUACUUGCCCAAGGACUUCGAGAUGGAGCCUGGAGGAGCCGGGGAUUGACUGAUUUUCUGAUUAGUGGGCAACCCGCUCUAUCACCGGAGCCAUAGCCGCUCCCAACAAAUGUGCCACAUGAAAGGACCAAGAAGCUGUCCUCGGACCCUGGGAACAGUGGGAAGUAUGGACGUAUGGAUGCCUGUCCCUGUGGUUAACCUUCCACCCACAUGUUAGGAGGAGGCUACAGGGAGAGGUCUGUUGCUUUGCCUGGCUCUAAGUGGAGGUGACAGCAUUCAAACAUGGUGACCUUGCGUAGGGGACCCGUGACGGGCCUCCCUGUGACUGAAGGAACAUUUCUGGAGGCACCCUGCAAGGCUUUUUGGUUUGGGAGAGACAUCAAGGGAACCUGCAUGGUGGCAAUAAGAGAGGUGUUUUUAUUUUUAUUUUUUUCACGAUGCCAACAGCAUCACUUCAACAAACUCCCUUUGAUAGACAUAGGUGAAAACUGGCUUGUAAAGGAAGUGAAUAUUGAUAUGAUGAAAAAUAUUUCAUCCUGAAAGUGUACAGUGUAUUGAUUUUGGAAAGUUGUACUGCAUAAAAGUAACAUAAGGUGUAUUAAAAGAAAUAUGAAAGCGUG